rnacentral:rRNA from 1 species
AUGCUUGACCUCCGCCCCGAAGACAUCGACGGUAUGGACGACGAUGAGGGGCAAGGCCAGAGCUCACUAUCCGCUAGACGCAGGACGACCACUUCCUGGUAUGACAUGUGUAUGGUAGACACACCCAACGACGAUAUCGACGAUGACAAGGAGGAUCAAGUUGAGGAUAAACCUCCUGGUACACAAUUCGAACACCGGCACCCCCGGCACCGCUCCAGGUCACGUCGCCCAGGAGAAAACAAUACUAGCAACGAAGGUGAUACUACUCCGGACAACAAAGACCCUGUUGAGGCAGGAUCCGAACAGGAGGACCAGGAAAGCGGGCAAGAUAGCCCCGAUGAACAGGUCAUGUACGGAGACUCGGAGGAUAGCAAUUAUCUUCCCCUCUCCGAGGAAGAGGAGAGCCUCGACAACGAAGAAUUCAUCAUGCCGGAGGAACCUCUCGAGCAGGAGCGCUUUAAACGCCGGCUAAUAGCCACAACAAGGAAUCUAAGACUAAAGCAGCUGCAACUCUAA